GAUGAAGAACGUAGCGAAAUGCGAUAAGUAGUGUGAAUUGCAGAAUUCAGUGAAUCAUCGAAUCUUUGAACGCACCUUGCGCCCUUUGGCUAUUCCGAAGGGCAUGCCUGUUUGAGUAUCGUGAACACCUCAACUCUCAUGGUUUGCCAUGAUGAGCUUGGACUUUGGGGGUUUUGCUGGCCUUUGGUCGGCUCCUCUCAAACGGAUCAGCUUUCCAGUGUUUGGUGGCGUCACGGGUGUGAUAACUAUCUACGCUUGUGGUUUUUCCACCAGGUAACCUUCAGCAGUGGAGGUUCGCUGGAGCUCAUAGAUGUCUCUCCUCAGUGAGGACAGCCCUUUGAAUGUUUGAUCUCAAAUCAGGUAGGACUACCCGCUGAACUUAAGCAUAUCAAUAAGCGGAGGA
rnacentral:misc_RNA from 1 species